rnacentral:rRNA from 1 species
UACGAAGGGGGCUAGCGUUGCUCGGAAUCACUGGGCGUAAAGCGCACGUAGGCGGAUUGUUAAGUCGGGGGUGAAAUCCUGGAGCUCAACUCCAGAACUGCCUUCGAUACUGGCGAUCUCGAGUCCGGGAGAGGUGAGUGGAACUCCGAGUGUAGAGGUGAAAUUCGUAGAUAUUCGGAAGAACACCAGUGGCGAAGGCGGCUCACUGGCCCGGUACUGACGCUGAGGUGCGAAAGCGUGGGGAGCAAACGGG